UGACUGCGAGCGUGACGGCGCGAGCAGGUGCGAAAGCAGGUCAUAGUGAUCCGGUGGUUCUGAAUGGAAGGGCCAUCGCUCAACGGAUAAAAGGUACUCCGGGGAUAACAGGCUGAUACCGCCCAAGAGUUCAUAUCGACGGCGGUGUUUGGCACCUCGAUGUCGGCUCAUCACAUCCUGGGGCUGAAGUAGGUCCCAAGGGUAUGGCUGUUCGCCAUUUAAAGUGGUACGCGAGCUGGGUUUAGAACGUCGUGAGACAGUUCGGUCCCUAUCUGCCGUGGGCGCUGGAGAACUGAGGGGGGCUGCUCCUAGUACGAGAGGACCGGAGUGGACGCAUCACUGGUGUUCGGGUUGUCAUGCCAAUGGCACUGCCCGGUAGCUAAAUGCGGAAGAGAUAAGUGCUGAAAGCAUCUAAGCACGAAACUUGCCCCGA
rnacentral:rRNA from 1 species